rnacentral:rRNA from 1 species
UACGGAGGGGGGCUAGCGUUGUUCGGAAUUACUGGGCGUAAAGCGCACGUAGGCGGCUUUGUAAGUUAGAGGUGAAAGCCCGGAGCUCAACUUCGGAAUUGCCUUUAAGACUGCAUCGCUUGAAUCGUGGAGAGGUGAGUGGAAUUCCGAGUGUAGAGGUGAAAUUCGUAGAUAUUCGGAAGAACACCAGUGGCGAAGGCGACUCACUGGACACGUAUUGACGCUGAGGUGCGAAAGCGUGGGGAGCAAACAGG